rnacentral:rRNA from 1 species
UCGGCUUAGAGUUUGAUCAUGGCUCAGAUUGAACGCUAGCGGGAUGCUUUACACAUGCAAGUCGAACGGCAAGGAAGCUUGCUUUCUGCGAGUGGCGAACGGGUGAGUAACAUAUCGGAACGUGCCCAGUAGCGGGGGAUAACUACGCGAAAGCGUGGCUAAUACCGCAUACGCCCUACGGGGGAAAGAGGUUCGUUUCACUAUUGGAGCGGCCGAUAUCGGAUUAGCUAGUUGGUGGGGUAAAGGCCUACCAAGGCGACGAUCCGUAGCUGGUUUGAGAGGACGACCAGCCACACUGGGACUGAGACACGGCCCAGACUCCUACGGGAGGCAGCAGUGGGGAAUUUUGGACAAUGGGGGCAACCCUGAUCCAGCCAUCCCGCGUGUGCGAUGAAGGCCUUCGGGUUGUAAAGCACUUUUGGCAGGGAAGAAACAGGUCGGGGAAUCCUGGCUGAUGACGGUACCUGCAGAAUAAGCACCGGCUAACUACGUGCCAGCAGCCGCGGUAAUACGUAGGGUGCAAGCGUUAAUCGGAAUUACUGGGCGUAAAGCGUGCGCAGGCGGUUCGGAAAGAAAGAUGUGAAAUCCCAGGGCUUAACCUUGGAAUGGCAUUUUUAACUACCGGGCUAGAGUAUGUCAGAGGGGGUAGAAUUCCACGUGUAGCAGUGAAAUGCGUAGAGAUGUGGAGAAUACCGAUG